UACGGAGGGGGCUAGCGUUGUUCGGAGUUACUGGGCGUAAAGCGCACGUAGGCGGCUUUGUAAGUUAGAGGUGAAAGCCUGGAGCUCAACUCCAGAAUUGCCUUUAAGACUGCAUCGCUUGAAUCCAGGAGAGGUGAGUGGAAUUCCGAGUGUAGAGGUGAAAUUCGUAGAUAUUCGGAAGAACACCAGUGGCGAAGGCGGCUCACUGGACUGGUAUUGACGCUGAGGUGCGAAAGCGUGGGGAGCAAACAGG
rnacentral:rRNA from 1 species